ACACACUCUUCAUCAUCACACAAGACUAAACUACAACUAUGAACAACAUCAUCAUCUUCAUCUGGACCAUUGCACUGUUUAUUCAAGAGUGUAGAGGACAGAUCACUGUAACUCAGAGUCCAUCAAUAUCAGCAGUUCAACCAGGAGAAGAAGUCAGAAUAAACUGUAAAACCAGCAGUAAUGUGCAUGCUGACAUUUGUAUGGCCUGGUACUCACAGAAACCUGGAGAAGCUCCUAAACUCCUCAUAUAUUAUGCAACAAGCCUUUAUACUGGAACUCACUCUAGAUUCAGUGGCAGUGGAUCUGGCAGUGAUUUUACUCUGACCAUCAGUGGAGUCCAGACUGAAGAUACAGGAGAUUAUUACUGUCAGAGUUAUCACUAUCCAAACAGUCAGCAUGUGUUCACACAGUGAUAAAGAGUCGUACAAAAACCUCUGUCAGUCAGACGUCACAGUGACUGCACUGAUACAGCUGAGAGAAACUGCAGCUGCUGAUGGAGGAUCACAAACUACACAAUAUCAAACCUUACACACACUUUAUUCAUUUAUUAUGAUGUACUAAGUAAACAUAUAAUCUUAUAUCCCUUACUAAACUGGACUAAAAUGUGUAGAACAUGUGAGUGGUGCUUGUUCUUGUAAAACUUCUUGUUCUUGUAAAGCCUCUACACUGUAAUAAUUGCACUUCAUGCUUCACCACUAGAGGACACAUCUUUAUAUGACUGAGUUCUUCUCUGUCAGCGAGAGAGUUUCUCUGGACACUUCAACGAGCAUCUAGAAAGAGAAAUCUCACACUUCACAUCAGAAGGCCUACUCUCUCAUCCCUGUGUAGAAAGACAUGAAUGAGACGCUGAAGUUAAA